AGCUGAUUUGCAGUGUUAUAGAGCAAAGUGACCCAGCCAUACAUAUACAUACAUUCUUUUUCUCAUAUCAUCCCCCAACAUAUUCCAUGCCAUGAGAUUGGACACAGUUCCCUGUGCUAUAUGGUAAAAGAGGUGGGGUUUUUUUGUUUUGCUUUGUUUUUCUUUUCCUUUUAGUGCCACACCCAUGGUGUAUGGAACUUCCCAGGCUAGGGAUUGAAUUAGAGCUACAACUACCAGCCUACACCACAGUCGUGCCAAAGUGCUAUCUGAGCCGCAUCUGCAACCUACACUGCAACUUGUGGCAAUGCCAGAUUCUUAACCCACUGAGCAAGGCUGGGAAUCAAACCCUAAUCCUCACGGAUACUAUGGCAGAUUCUUAACCCGCUGAGCCACAACAGGAACUCCAGGUUUGUUUGUUUAAAAAAAAAAAAAAAGUCAAAUGAAAAGAUGUUGAUAAAAGAAUUGUAAAUUCAAGGAGGUUCAGAGUCAGUGGGGUUUUCCAAGGGAAAUAUUGACAUCAAUUGUUAAAUUGCUGAGGCAUCGGGGAGGUAGAAAGAUAUGGGAGCUGCUUCUAGAGAAAGUAAAGAAAUAAGUCUUUGACCACAUUGUGGGUCAAGACACAACCGAGGCACUGAUGAGAAAGUGCAGACCUGCCAAGGACUCAGGAUGUUCUGACAGGGAAAGGAGGGGAAUAGGGAAGAGGAAUCUUGGAUGAAAAUAGGCUUUUGGUUUGUACUUAAAGACGGUGAGUCUCUGGUUGCAGCCCAAAGGCAUCCGAGCUCCAGGGAUACAAAUGGAGGACCAUCCAGAGAGGGGUUAUUAAAAAGGGCUCCAAGGCAGGAGGAGGAUAGAAGAGACACCAGGUCAAGCAGAAUGAAGCCAGAUGAUCAAAUCAUGAAGAAGGACAACAUUCCUGACACCAGCAAGGGGAAGGCCCUUCUUCCUCUAGAGAAAAAGGCCCUGCUCCAUCCAGCCUUGAAGGCCAUUCUGCUGCUCUCUAGGUGA
rnacentral:lncRNA from 1 species